rnacentral:lncRNA from 1 species
GAGUCGCAUGGUACCAUCAUUCUUCUUCAAAAAUAGUACUAGAGCUCCCUACGGUGAUACACUUGGUCUGAUGAAACUAUUAUCCAAUAAUUCCUACAAUUAUUUCUUGAAUUCCUUUAAUUUAGCUUUCACCAUUAGAUACGGAGCCUUAGAGAUAAGACUCAUACCAGAAAUUAAGUCAAUGAAGAACUCGAUCUCCUAGUCUGCAGGUA